rnacentral:rRNA from 1 species
GGGCGCUUCGGUGCGAGUGGCAGACGGGUGAGGAACACGUGGGGCGGUACCUUUCGGUUCCGAAUAAUUCAUGGAAACUUGGACGUUACCGGAUACGCCCUUGUGGGGAAGGAUUUAUCGGCGAUGGAUGGGCCGUCGUCUGGUGAGCUAGUUGGGGAGGUAAUGGCUCACGAAGGGGACGAUCGGUAUGUGUGCGGAGAGGAUGAUGAGCGACAUUGGGACUGAGACACGGCCCAAACUACUACGGGAGGCAGCAGUGGGGAAUAUUGGACAAUGGGCGCAAGCCUGAUCCAGCCAUGCCGCGUGAGUGAUGAAGGCCUUAGGGUUGUAAAGCUCUUUUGUCCGGGAAGAUAAUGACUGUACCGGAAGA